GUCUUUUUGAUUAUAAUUUAAAGUCUAACCUGCCCAAUGAAUAUUUAAAUGGCCGCGGUAUUUUGACCGUGCAAAGGUAGCAUAAUCAUUAGUUUUUUAAUUGAAAGCUGGUAUGAAUGGUUGGACGAGAAAAUUACUGUCUCAAUUUAAUUUAAUUAGAAUUUUAUUUUUAAGUUAAAAAGCUUAAAUUUAUUUAAAAGACGAGAAGACCCUAUAGAGUUUAAUAUUUAAAUUAAUUUUAUUUUUUAUAAUUUUUAAAAUUAAUUUAAAUAUUUUAUUGGGGUGAUAAGUAAAUUUAAUAAACUUUAUUUUUUUAUUUACAUAAAUUUAUGAUUUAAUGAUCCAUUAUUAAUGAUUAUAAGAUUAAAUUACCUUAGGGAUAACAGCGUUAUCUUUUUAGAGAGUUCAAAUCGAAAAAAAGGAUUGCGACCUCGAUGUUGGAUUAAAAUUAAUUUUUGGUGUAGAAGCUAAAAAUAUUAAGUCUGUUCGACUUUUAAAAUUUUACAUGAUCUGAGUUUAAACCGGCGUGAGCCAGGUUGGUUUCUAUCUUUAAAAAAAUUAAAUAUUUUAGUACGAAAGGACCAAAUAUUUAUAAAAUUUAUUAAUAUUUGAAUAU
rnacentral:rRNA from 1 species